rnacentral:rRNA from 1 species
GACGAACGCUGGCGGCGUGCUUAACACAUGCAAGUCGAACGGUAAGGCCCCAGCUUGCUGGGGUACACGAGUGGCGAACGGGUGAGUAACACGUGGGUGACCUGCCCCGCACUUCGGGAUAAGCCUGGGAAACUGGGUCUAAUACCGGAUACAACCGCACCGUGAGGGUGUGGUGGAAAGUUUUUCGGUGUGGGAUGGGCCCGCGGCCUAUCAGCUUGUUGGUGGGGUAAUGGCCUACCAAGGCGGCGACGGGUAGCCGGCCUGAGAGGGUGGACGGCCACAUUGGGACUGAGACACGGCCCAGACUCCUACGGGAGGCAGCAGUGGGGAAUAUUGCACAAUGGGCGGAAGCCUGAUGCAGCGACGCCGCGUGGGGGAUGACGGCCUUCGGGUUGUAAACUCCUUUCACCAUCGACGAAGGUUUUCUGACGGUAGAUGGAGAAGAAGCACCGGCUAACUACGUG